GUACUACCAAAGCGAGCACAUAUACUAAAAUUGGAACAAUACAGAGAAGAUUAGCAUGACCCCUGCACAAUGAUGACAUGCAAAUUCGUGAAGCAUUCCAAUUUUAU
rfam:Caprimulgus carolinensis contig31972, whole genome shotgun sequence.